rnacentral:misc_RNA from 1 species
GUAGGUGAACCUGCGGAAGGAUCAUUCACAAAGUUAGGGGGGUGAGCGAGUGUGAAGCACGGAGCGCGUAGCGCAAAGUGCGUAGCACGAGUGAACCCGCCAAAAGGCAAGUGCCUAGUGCUAGGUGUGGGGGCAUGAGGAGAGUCUGUGGACACCUUGUGGCCCCGCCACCGACGCGCGAAGCGUGCGCCUAUACGAGCACCCGCCAGGCUUACGCCGAACGGGUAGGGUGUCGAUGCCGAGGAGGAGG